AUUGAACGCUGGCGGCAUGCCUUACACAUGCAAAUCGAACGGUAACGGGCCUUCGGGUGCCGACGAGUGGCGAACGGGUGAGUAAUACAUCGGAACGUGCCCGAUCGUGGGGGAUAACGAGGCGAAAGCUUUGCUAAUACCGCAUACGAUCUACGGAUGAAAGCCAGGGACCGCAAGGCCUUGCGCGGACGGAGCGGCCGAUGGCAGAUCAGGUAGUUGGUGGGAUAAAAGCUUACCAAGCCGACGAUCUGUAGCUGGUCUGAGAGGAUGAUCCGCCACACUGGGACUGAGACACGGCCCAGACUCCUACGGGAGGCAGCAGUGGGGAAUUUUGGACAAUGGGCGCAAGCCUGAUCCAGCCAUGCCGCGUGCAGGAUGAAGGCCUUCGGGUUGUAAACUGAUUUUGUACGGAACGAAAAGCCUUCUUUUAAUACAGGAGGGUCAUGACGGUACCGUAAGAAUAAGCACCGGCUAACUACGUG
rnacentral:rRNA from 1 species